AAGUCUUGACAUAUUACGGAGGGAAUUAGAGAUAGUUCCUUACUUCUUCGGAAGACUGUAAUACAGGUGGUGCAUGGUU
rnacentral:rRNA from 1 species